rnacentral:rRNA from 1 species
UAGUCCACGCCGUAAACGAUGAUAACUAGCUGUUCGGGCCCACAGGGCUUGAGUGGCGCAGCUAACGCAUUAAGUUAUCCGCCUGGGGAGUACGGUCGCAAGAUUAAAACUCAAAGGAAUUGACGGGGGCCUGCACAAGCGGUGGAGCAUUUGGUUUAAUUCGAAGCAACGCGCAGAACCUUACCAACCCUUGACAUCCAGUGCCACUUCCAGAGAUGGAACGUUCCCUUCGGGGACGCUGUGACAGGUGCUGCAUGGCUGUCGUCAGCUCGUGUCGUGAGAUGUUCGGUUAAGUCCGGCAACGAGCGCAACCCACGUCUUUAGUUGCCAGCAGGUUAUGCUGGGCACUCUAAAGAAACUGCCCGUGAUAAGCGGGAGGAAGGUGUGGAUGACGUCAAGUCCUCAUGGCCCUUACGGGUUGGGCUACACACGUGCUACAAUGGCAGUGACAAUGGGUUAAUCCCCAAAAACUGUCUCAGUUCGGAUUGUCGUCUGCAACUCGACGGC